CAAGCGUUGUUCGGAAUUACUGGGCGUAAAGGGCUCGUAGGCGGCCAACUAAGUCAGACGUGAAAUCCCCAGGCUCAACCUGGGAACUGCGUCUGAUACUGGAUGGCUUGAAUCCGGGAGAGGGAUGCAGAAUUCCAGGUGUAGCGGUGAAAUGCGUAGAGAUCCGGAGGAAUACCAGAGGCGAAGGCGGCAUCCUGGUCUGUUACUGACACUGAGACGCGAAAGCAUGGGGAGCGAACGGG
rnacentral:rRNA from 1 species